AUUAGAUACCCGGGUAGUCCCAGCCGUAAACUAUGCGCGUUAGGUGUAUCGGUGACAACGAGUUACCGAGGUGCCGAAGGGAAACCGUGAAACGUGCCGCCUGGGAAGUACGGUCGCAAGGCUGAAACUUAAAGGAAUUGGCGGGGAGCACCACAACAGGUGGAGCCUGCGGUUUAAUUGGACUCAACGCCGGGAAGCUCACCGGAUAGGACAGCAGAAUGAUUGCCGGGCUGAAGACCCUGCAUGACUAGCUG
rnacentral:rRNA from 1 species